CUCCGUGAAUGGUGGCUGUCGCUAUCACGUGGACUACAAGGGGGGGUUGGAAGAAGGUGUCAGACAGCCAGAUUCAAGUCCUAAUUCUGCCACGUACAGGCAUGCUGUGUCUGCUCCAGGGCCGUGUUUUCCUCGUCUCUAGAAGACAGAGAAUGAAUCCUGGCUCGCCCACCUGCAGGACAGCGUCGGGGACCCAGGAGCCCAGGGAUGGCGUCCACCUUGGCUGCACAUCACGGCCACCCAAGUUGCUCAACAACUACUCAGUGCCGGGGAUCCACCUGCCUCCGAUUGGCUCGGUCAGGAUUUGGGUGGCUGGGACCCAGGCGGAUGUGUUUCUUACACAUUUUGGGUGAGUUUAACGUGCUCCCGGGUUGUGAGUCACCGGGAUGAAGAUGUACCCCUGUUUUCUAAAUCGGAGAACCCUGUGCACACGCGGGGGUCAGGCAGGAGGGCCCCCCUCCUGGUCCUGCUCCUGUGGGGCAGAGAAUUCUUGGGGCCACCAUUCGUUCCUCUGCCGUGGGGUCGGGAGGCUUCAGCUUCUUUGAUUCCCUUUCAACACUUCCCAGGAUUCUGUCGCAUCUGAAGAGGGAAGCAGGGUGCUGGCAGUAACCGGGGCAUGCUGACUUUAACCUUUAAAAAAACAAGCUUUAUGGUGAAGACCAAAAGGUCUUAUAAACCUUAAUGAGCGGCAUAUGUGAAACACAUACGUGAAUUGCUUGUUUGAAAAAUAUUUCCCGGCUAGCCUUCAAUAGCAUAGCCUUAUUAUUCUAAACGGGGAGCUUGUCUUACCAGAGGACCGAACAAAACCCCAGUUGGAGAUAAUUAUCUUAGCAGAAUUCCCCGUGGGUCCCUGGGGAGGGGAUGGGGCGGGAGCCUCUGGAACACAUGUGCUAACUUAGGCCGCCUUUGUCUACACAACAAACACAAAAGCUGGGCUCUCGGCAGCGAGGAGAAUUCCAGCUCCCGAAACGGUGACCUCAAGACUCACUCCGCGGAUGGCGAAUAGCUUAAUAUCACCUGGGGAGAGCAUACACCCCACAUCAACUGGAGGCAAGAGAGGACAUUGAUUGGAAGGUCCCAUUUGGUUUGUGUAGCAACUGUCUUCAGAAGGCCCAGGAGAAGACAAGAGCAGCCACCCACAGAGGACAGCUUGGUAAAUGGUCACUCACUCUGGAUGAAGCUAUGUUGUGAGCAGCCCUAUGGAGAGGCCCCUAAGGCAAGGAACUGAGGUCUCUUGCCCACAGCUGUGUGAGGCUGUCAUCUUGGAAGUGGACCCUUCAGCCCUGGCCAAGCUUUCAGAGUCGGCAGCCCCAGCAGACAGUCUGACUGUGACCUCAUGAGAGACCCUGAGCUGGAACCAUCCAGCUGAGCCAGUCCUAGAUUCCUCACCCAGAGACACUGUGAGAUAAUAAAUGUAUGUUGCUGUAAGCCAGUAAAUUCUGGGCUGCAAAACUGUUCCUCAGCAUUA